rnacentral:rRNA from 1 species
GAUGAACGCUGGCGGCGUGCCUAAUACAUGCAAGUCGAGCGAACAGACGAGGAGCUUGCUCCUCUGACGUUAGCGGCGGACGGGUGAGUAACACGUGGAUAACCUACCUAUAAGACUGGGAUAACUUCGGGAAACCGGAGCUAAUACCGGAUAAUAUAUUGAACCGCAUGGUUCAAUAGUGAAAGACGGUUUUGCUGUCACUUAUAGAUGGAUCCGCGCCGCAUUAGCUAGUUGGUAAGGUAACGGCUUACCAAGGCAACGAUGCGUAGCCGACCUGAGAGGGUGAUCGGCAACACUGGAACUGAGACACGGUCCAGACUCCUACGGGAGGCAGCAGUAGGGAAUCUUCCGCAAUGGGCGAAAGCCUGACGGAGCAACGCCGCGUGAGUGAUGAAGGUCUCCGGAUCGUAAAACUCUGUUAUUAGGGAAGAACAGAUGUGUAAGUAACUAUGCACGUCUUGACGGUACCUAAUCAGAAAGCCACGGCUAACUACGUG